rnacentral:lncRNA from 1 species
GAAGCGGCUCGCGCGGGCCCGGCCGGCAGCCGCUCCCCAGACACCGGGGAUCCGGCCCGACUGUUUCCUACCCACGACGGCGAAGACCCGCUACAGCGCGUCCACGAAGCCCCAGUACUGAGCCAGGACGGGGCUCUCCCUCUCGAUGUAGGCGACUACGAACUGCUCCGCCAGCCGGUGAGGCAGCUAAUUAAGAAAGCCACCUUCAGGAUGUCUUUCGAGAAUCUAGCCUCGAAGAAAGUCAUGUAAGAGAACGCCUGCAUCAAAAAGUCGGGAGGCCGGGCGGAGUCGCCGUUAAACGUCCAGGGAAAGCCACCAGGUGGGCCGGCGAACGCUCCCGGGCCAGCAGGUAGGCUUUCUCGCACAGCAGCCCCCGCACCCGGUCCGUAAGCUCGUUGUUCUCCCUGCGCCGGGCAUGGUUCUAGGUCAGGAGGUCCUACAUCAUGACAGCCAACGCGUCCAUCCUGCGCCUCCCCGCAGGCCUUGCUCCCCGCUCGGUCCCUCCCGGCCGCGGCGCUGCCGGAAGUGCGUGUCGGCGCGGGGGCGGAUCCCGGUGGCGGCGAGGGGCGGACUCCGCGGACAAGGCCAGGCCUAGCCUUGAGCUCCGUCGGGCAGGGCCGCCGGGAUUGGUGUCCGGCAGAGCGUGAGCCCAGCGGGCUGGAGUCGGCGAGCGGGAGUGAAAGAAGAAAAGCUAGAGAGCGAAGGCAAAGCCCGAGGAGAGAGGGCCGCGGUCGGCGGAGGAAUCUGACUGCACGGUUGCGUGCGCUCACUCCCGGAGGGCUCCCUCAGGCGGGCGGCUCCGCUAGUGGCUAAAGGCAAAGCAUUCCGGGGCGCGGCGCAUGAAGUUGAGCUUCGUCCCUGCUAGCCGCCGCUUUCUCCCCAAAAAUACAUCCUAGCCUUAAUGUUUAUGCCUCCAUUGCCCCAGUUCUUAUCUGUUUUGCUCAAUGUCUCAUAGCUACAAGAAGGCAAUUUCUGACGAAGCCCUCCGUCCCUUCCAAAUGGAUUAUUUUGGCGGGCUUCCACCCGGACAGUAUGCCACCCGAAUGACUGGACAAGUGCACGGGAGCGGCUGUCAUUUGCGGAGUGCGCCUUGCGAUCUAGGCGCCUCACAGCGCAAAUUAUCCAGUAAUUUCUCUGAAAUCGAUGCUGGUUUGUUUUCCCAAGGCAAAUCAGCAGCUUAUACAGACAUUGGGGCCACAAAGCCGGUGGAACAACGGGAGACGGCUUCCUGAGUGUCAGGUCCUCCAAGAUGAGCUUAAACUUCGGGUGGUGGGCAGGCUCGGUAGGCGGGAAAGGCCCGUGUCCAGAUGAAUGCAGUCCAUGUUUAUAUUGAUGAAAGACACGUAUACCAUUUGGUCCAGCUCAACCAUUCUUAACAAGUGCUGGCUGUGAGCACUGGUGUGUGUGUGCCUGCGUGCAACCAGCAAUGUAAGUGAUGACCAGCUGCAUGAUGCCUUAAUUUGAGUGGACAAAGUCGGUCAAGAACCACUUUCAGGCUUCUGGGUCUCCAAGUCUUUGUCUCCCUGUAUCCAAACGAGGCAUUCCAAGUUUGACAGCAUGGAACAUUGCAUGUCCGAAAUACCAACCGUGAAACUGGGUAAAAAGCUUCAGGAGGUGAUAUUGAUGUGUAUAGUUUAGGAAAUAAAACCCAAUACUUACUUCAAAGAACGUAAUUUGUGGCUUUUUAGAGAGAAGGAUACUUUGACAGUUUUCAUUUGUCGUCUACAUGUAUAUGGUACGUUUCAUUCUGCCUUUUAAUUAAUUUGGUAUUUUACUAUGAAAACUACUUUGUAUUAAUAAAAUAAUGUAUUUCCAAUGUUA